CAGGACUUCAGAAAUACGUCAGGAUAUUUAUUUAAUUAGAUCUACGCAUGUAGCUCCAUCCUUGGCCAAAUAACACUGAUUUUAAGAACGUCCAGGAAGAGCCAUGGAAAUAUUUGGAGGGAAUUUGAUGUUCCUGGAUCUCCAGAGCCUGUACCACUGAGUCAAGGAAGUGACACCUGAAUGGACAAGACCUGUGGAAGAGCAAGGAUACCUGAGGUUUGCCUCCAAGAGCCCACGACAAUCAGAUGCCAUGAGAAAUAUCUCUGGAAAAGAAGGUUGAGUGGAGAGCAGAAAUGGGAAGACCCGAUCACGUGGAAACUGAGUUCUGGAAGUGAGAAGAUGCCAACG